rnacentral:pre_miRNA from 1 species
GAACAUUAGGGACUGACCCAAAGCCCAGUGAAGUCAAUGGAAGUCUUUCCAUUAACUCCAACAAUGUGCUUUGGGUCAGGUCCUUAGUUC